CGCGCCUCCAGGAGGCUCCCUCCCCGCGCCCCGCGCCCGCGCUCGGCCGAGGUCCCUGCGCGCACGCGGACAGGAGCGGCUCUCCUCAGCCUCUCGCGUGUGGACCCGGCCGUCCUGGGCCCCCGACGCCCCCCCAGCGGUGACAAACGAGAUGCCCAGUGUCCCCGGCUGGACACAGCUGAGCUGGGCCGGGGGAUGGAGCGACCAGGAGCCGCUCAGUCCACGAGGCCGCGUGCUCAGAUCGCCCUAACGGAGGGGCAGGUGGACGGCCGGGCAGCUCAGGCCUGGGUCCUCCCAGGACCGCAGCGAGGGGAGUCCUGCGCCGGGGAGGGGCGCGCGCAGGCGCAGAGCGACAGCGCCGUGCUCCGCGGGGGCCUCACGCUCUGGUUUGGCUUCAUGUUUCCUGGACCAACAGUUGGUGGGACUUUUAUGGAAAGAUUUAGAGUUGAGGAUACAAGAGGCCUUUUAUUCCCUCCAAACCCUGUAAUUCUGUGGCUAACUAUUAGUAUUUUUUAACAAAACUUUCUACAAACUCAAUGAUCUUGUGAAAAUAAUGUUACUGUACUAUUGGCAGAAGAUUCAAAUUAAGUAGAUUAAAAAGCUACAUAAAUAAAAGUAUAUGUACUAUGUGUGUAAAAAGCUCAAAACCAGGGAGACGGAAGCAGCUCAAGAGCCCCAGAGGCAGCUGUGGAGCAGGGCUGGCGGCCGUCCCGGGAGUCCGGACCCCUGCACGCAGGCCGGGGCCUUGUUUGGAAAAGGGUCAUCCCAGGUGGGGUGAGGCGAGCUAAAAUGGAGCCAGUGAAGGAGGCCGGCCUGAAUCAAGCAGGGACUGUGCCCGGGGAAGAGGGAAUUUGGACCCAGAGAGAAGGCAGAGCUGCUCUCGGGGCUUCUCCCGCAGCGCGGCCCGCGCGCGCUCGCUUCAGGCUGUCUCCAGAGCUGCGGGACGACCUCUGCUGUUUCAAGUCGCCGGCGAGAGCGCUUCCUGGGGCAGCCCUGGAGAGGGAAGGCAAGCACGGGUUUUACCAUUGCUGCCCCCCACAUCUGGCCCAGCCUGAAGGGGCGCCAGGGAAACAAGAACCUACUCAUCUGACGGGGCGGUGGUCUCAAGGAAGUCUCAGGAGGUUGCCUCAUGGGUGCUUCUGUUUUGCAGUCUUUCUUCCUGAUCUCUUGGACGUGUAGAUAGAUAACUGGGAAUAUUCUUUAAAAACAUAAGCAUGUGCACUGGAGCAUGAAAGAGACUCCAUGGAAUGCUGGUCAUACGAGGCACCUGCAGGAGACUAAGGCAGUGAAGGGGACGUGGCCCCGGCAAGGAAGGGGCGACCAGCAGACCUGGAGCCACGGGUCCGUGUUCAUUCCAUCAACAGCACCCGCGUUAGUACUCACCUUCUCAAGGGAGUCUCCCCCAAAGCCAGCGUCCUUCUCAGUCCCUCCACGGUUUUGACCCACAGUUAUCCAUCUGGUCAACACGUUUAUAGGUAAACUAUCUUGACUGUUUUAAUUUGUCAUGUGAUCAGAUAAUUAAUAAAAACAUAUGUGUAUUAGCUUCCAGCUUCCAAAGCAAACACCACGCAGUGGGUUGGCUUGACGACAGGAGCUUACUGGUUGCUCCUUCGGGCUGGUGUCCCCGGCAGCGGCUGGCUUGGGCUCCCUGCUUGCUGUCCCGUGGCCGUGCACACGCUCUUCUCCAGCUCCCAGCCCAACCCGCGGUCCUGCUUUCUGUGGUCUUCUCUAGGAGGCCUCCAGAAACAGAUGAGGACCCACCAGAUCCAGCAGGCCCCACCCGCCCCGCGAAAACCCAUCAAAACGGUGACAAGCGCGGCUGUUGCUGGCUUUGGUGGUGGUUGCUUUGUUUCUGUUUUAAGAAUUUACCACAGCUCAGAUUUAUCUUGGACUGUAGAAACUGGAAACAGAAAACAAUAGAACUGAAAGGGUCAUGAGCUUUCCUUUGUGUUUCUUGGGGGAGACAUUAAAUAUACUAACAUAUUUCCCAAAGACCAUCCCUAGGGGCCUGCGGUAUCCAAGUGAAGAGUAGCAAGGUCUCUGGAACAGGAAUCAUCAAAACAUGCUACAAUGUACAGAAGGCACAGCUAAUAGCUAAGGAGAGCAGUAUAAAACACACUGAACACAUAUACAUCACUAUGUACAUGUACACGUGUAUAUUGCACAUGCAUUAUUUACAUAACACAAAAAUCACAAAUGCUGUAUUUGUUGUUAUAUGCUUUUCAUAUAUAUAAUAAAUUUAUAUUGUAUUGCAUUGCUUGGUUCAACCUCUACAAAAACAGAAUGAUGGGAUUUCUGCAUAUUUAUUAAGAUUUGUGUUUUAGUAUUAAACAGAAGACUCAGUAUAUUUGCAUGAAUAAUAUUUAGAAAAAUAGUGUAGCCAUUUUGCUAUGAGGGUGCAAUUUAGGGACAUUUUCCAAGAGCAGCCUUUUGUCAACAGUUCAUACAUACUCUGAGAAGCAACAUCUACUUUUUUUUGGUCUUUAUUUAUAUUUUUAAUGUUACAUUAAAAAAAAUGAGGUCCCCAUAUACCCCCCACCGCUCUCACCCCACUCCUCCCCCCAUAACAACCACCUCCUCCAUCAUCAUGAGACAUUCAUUGGUGAAUACAUCUCUGAGCACCG
rnacentral:lncRNA from 1 species